GUUAAGCGACUAAGCGUACACGGUGGAUGCCCUGGCAGUCAGAGGCGAUGAAGGACGUGCUAAUCUGCGAUAAGCGUCGGUGAGGUGAUAUGAACCGUUAUAACCGGCGAUUUCCGAAUGGGGAAACCCAGUGUGUUUCGACACACUAUCAUUAACUGAAUCCAUAGGUUAAUGAGGCGAACCGGGGGAACUGAAACAUCUAAGUACCCCGAGGAAAAGAAAUCAACCGAGAUUCCCCCAGUAGCGGCGAGCGAACGGGGAGGAGCCCAGAGCCUGAAUCAGUGUGUGUGUUAGUGGAAGCGUCUGGAAAGGCGUGCGAUACAGGGUGACAGCCCCGUACACAAAAAUGCACAUAUUGUGAGCUCGAUGAGUAGGGCGGGACACGUGGUAUCCUGUCUGAAUAUGGGGGGACCAUCCUCCAAGGCUAAAUACUCCUGACUGACCGAUAGUGAACCAGUACCGUGAGGGAAAGGCGAAAAGAACCCCGGCGAGGGGAGUGAAAAAGAACCUGAAACCGUGUACGUACAAGCAGUGGGAGCCUCUUUAUGGGGUGACUGCGUACCUUUUGUAUAAUGGGUCAGCGACUUAUAUUCUGUAGCAAGGUUAACCGAAUAGGGGAGCCGAAGGGAAACCGAGUCUUAACUGGGCGUUAAGUUGCAGGGUAUAGACCCGAAACCCGGUGAUCUAGCCAUGGGCAGGUUGAAGGUUGGGUAACACUAACUGGAGGACCGAACCGACUAAUGUUGAAAAAUUAGCGGAUGACUUGUGGCUGGGGGUGAAAGGCCAAUCAAACCGGGAGAUAGCUGGUUCUCCCCGAAAGCUAUUUAGGUAGCGCCUCGUGAAUUCAUCUCCGGGGGUAGAGCACUGUUUCGGCAAGGGGGUCAUCCCGACUUACCAACCCGAUGCAAACUGCGAAUACCGGAGAAUGUUAUCACGGGAGACACACGGCGGGUGCUAACGUCCGUCGUGAAGAGGGAAACAACCCAGACCGCCAGCUAAGGUCCCAAAGUCAUGGUUAAGUGGGAAACGAUGUGGGAAGGCCCAGACAGCCAGGAUGUUGGCUUAGAAGCAGCCAUCAUUUAAAGAAAGCGUAAUAGCUCACUGGUCGAGUCGGCCUGCGCGGAAGAUGUAACGGGGCUAAACCAUGCACCGAAGCUGCGGCAGCGACACUAUGUGUUGUUGGGUAGGGGAGCGUUCUGUAAGCCUGUGAAGGUGGCCUGUGAGGGUUGCUGGAGGUAUCAGAAGUGCGAAUGCUGACAUAAGUAACGAUAAAGCGGGUGAAAAGCCCGCUCGCCGGAAGACCAAGGGUUCCUGUCCAACGUUAAUCGGGGCAGGGUGAGUCGACCCCUAAGGCGAGGCCGAAAGGCGUAGUCGAUGGGAAACAGGUUAAUAUUCCUGUACUUGGUGUUACUGCGAAGGGGGGACGGAGAAGGCUAUGUUGGCCGGGCGACGGUUGUCCCGGUUUAAGCGUGUAGGCUGGUUUUCCAGGCAAAUCCGGAAAACCAAGGCUGAGGCGUGAUGACGAGGCACUACGGUGCUGAAGCGACAAAUGCCCUGCUUCCAGGAAAAGCCUCUAAGCAUCAGGUAACAUCAAAUCGUACCCCAAACCGACACAGGUGGUCAGGUAGAGAAUACCAAGGCGCUUGAGAGAACUCGGGUGAAGGAACUAGGCAAAAUGGUGCCGUAACUUCGGGAGAAGGCACGCUGAUAUGUAGGUGAAGCGACUUGCUCGUGGAGCUGAAAUCAGUCGAAGAUACCAGCUGGCUGCAACUGUUUAUUAAAAACACAGCACUGUGCAAACACGAAAGUGGACGUAUACGGUGUGACGCCUGCCCGGUGCCGGAAGGUUAAUUGAUGGGGUUAGCGGUAACGCGAAGCUCUUGAUCGAAGCCCCGGUAAACGGCGGCCGUAACUAUAACGGUCCUAAGGUAGCGAAAUUCCUUGUCGGGUAAGUUCCGACCUGCACGAAUGGCGUAAUGAUGGCCAGGCUGUCUCCACCCGAGACUCAGUGAAAUUGAACUCGCUGUGAAGAUGCAGUGUACCCGCGGCAAGACGGAAAGACCCCGUGAACCUUUACUAUAGCUUGACACUGAACAUUGAGCCUUGAUGUGUAGGAUAGGUGGGAGGCUUUGAAGUGUGGACGCCAGUCUGCAUGGAGCCGACCUUGAAAUACCACCCUUUAAUGUUUGAUGUUCUAACGUUGGCCCGUAAUCCGGGUUGCGGACAGUGUCUGGUGGGUAGUUUGACUGGGGCGGUCUCCUCCUAAAGAGUAACGGAGGAGCACGAAGGUUGGCUAAUCCUGGUCGGACAUCAGGAGGUUAGUGCAAUGGCAUAAGCCAGCUUGACUGCGAGCGUGACGGCGCGAGCAGGUGCGAAAGCAGGUCAUAGUGAUCCGGUGGUUCUGAAUGGAAGGGCCAUCGCUCAACGGAUAAAAGGUACUCCGGGGAUAACAGGCUGAUACCGCCCAAGAGUUCAUAUCGACGGCGGUGUUUGGCACCUCGAUGUCGGCUCAUCACAUCCUGGGGCUGAAGUAGGUCCCAAGGGUAUGGCUGUUCGCCAUUUAAAGUGGUACGCGAGCUGGGUUUAGAACGUCGUGAGACAGUUCGGUCCCUAUCUGCCGUGGGCGCUGGAGAACUGAGGGGGGCUGCUCCUAGUACGAGAGGACCGGAGUGGACGCAUCACUGGUGUUCGGGUUGUCAUGCCAAUGGCACUGCCCGGUAGCUAAAUGCGGAAGAGAUAAGUGCUGAAAGCAUCUAAGCACGAAACUUGCCCCGAGAUGAGUUCUCCCUGACUCCUUGAGAGUCCUGA
rnacentral:rRNA from 1 species